rnacentral:tRNA from 1 species
GGGCCUGUAGCUCAGUUGGUUAGAGCAGUGGACUCAUAAUCCAUUGGUUGAUUUUUUCACAAAUUCC